rnacentral:rRNA from 1 species
GACGAACGCUGGCGGCGCGCUUAACACAUGCAAGUCGAACGGAAAGGCCUGCUUUCCCUUGUGGAUUGCGGGUACUCGCGUGGCGAACGGGUGAGUAACACGUGAGUGAUCUGCCCCCAACUUGGGUAUAAGCCUGGGAAACUGGGUCUAAUUCCCGAUAGGACUGCAGGGUGGUGCCUGUGGUGGCAAACGAUUUUCUAGUGGUUGGGGAUGAGCUCGCGGCCUAUCAGCUUGUUGGUGGGGUAAUGGCCUACCAAGGCGGCGACGGGUAGCCGGCCUGGGAGGGUGGACGGGCACAUUGGGACGGAGAUACGGCCCAGACCCCUACGGGAGGCAGCAGUGGGGAAUAUGGCACAAUGGGCGGAAGCCUGAUGCAGCGACGCCGCGUGGGGGAUGACGGCCUUCGGGUUGUAAACUCCUGUCGACCGAGAGGAAGCCACCUGGAUGGAAGGGUGGUGACGGUAGUGGUAGAAGAAGCACCGGCUAACUACGUG